AGUGAACGCUGGCGGUAGGCCUAACACAUGCAAGUCGAACGGCAGCACAGGAGAGCUUGCUCUCUGGGUGGCGAGUGGCGGACGGGUGAGGAAUACAUCGGAAUCUACCUUUUCGUGGGGGAUAACGUAGGGAAACUUACGCUAAUACCGCAUACGACCUACGGGUGAAAGUGGGGGACCGCAAGGCCUCACGCGAAUAGAUGAGCCGAUGUCCGAUUAGCUAGUUGGCGGGGUAAUGGACCACCAAGGCGACGAUCGGUAGCUGGUCUGAGAGGAUGAUCAGCCACACUGGAACUGAGACACGGUCCAGACUCCUACGGGAGGCAGCAGUGGGGAAUAUUGGACAAUGGGCGCAAGCCUGAUCCAGCCAUACCGCGUGGGUGAAGAAGGCCUUCGGGUUGUAAAGCCCUUUUGUUGGGAAAGAAAUCCUGUCGAUUAAUACUCGGUGGGGAUGACGGUACCCAAAGAAUAAGCACCGGCUAACUUCGUGCCAGCAGCCGCAGUAAGAC
rnacentral:rRNA from 1 species